AGCGAACGCUGGCGGCAGGCCUAACACAUGCAAGUCGAACGAACCUUUCGGGGUUAGUGGCGGACGGGUGAGUAACACGUGGGAACGUGCCUUUAGGUUCGGAAUAACUCAGGGAAACUUGUGCUAAUACCGAAUGUGCCCUUCGGGGGAAAGAUUAAUCGCCUUUAGAGCGGCCCGCGUCUGAUUAGCUAGUUGGUUGAGGUAAUGGCUCACCAAGGCGACGAUCAGUAGCUGGUCUGAGAGGAUGAUCAGCCACAUUGGGACUGAGACACGGCCCAAACUCCUACGGGAGGGAGCCGUGGGGAAUCUUGCGCAAUGGGCGAAAGCCUGACGCAGCCAUGCCGCGUGAAUGAUGAAGGUCUUAGGAUUGUAAAAUUCUUUCACCGGGGACGAUAAUGACGGUACCCGGAGAAGAAGCCCCGGCUAACUUCGUG
rnacentral:rRNA from 1 species